rnacentral:rRNA from 1 species
UACGUAGGUGGCAAGCGUUGUCCGGAAUUACUGGGUGUAAAGCGCGUGUAGGCGGCAGGCCAAGUCUGAGGUGAAAUCGCCCGGCUCAACUGGGCGGGGUCCUUGGAAACUGGCAGGCUGGAGGACGGUAGAGGCGAGUGGAAUUCCCGGUGUAGUGGUGAAAUGCGUAGAGAUCGGGAGGAACACCUGUGGCGAAGGCGGCUCGCUGGGCCGGUCCUGACGCUGAGGCGCGAAAGCUAGGGUAGCAAACGGG